rnacentral:rRNA from 1 species
GACGAACGCUGGUGGCCCGCUUAACACAUGAUAGUCGAACGGAAAGGCCUCAGCUUGCUGGGGUACUCGAGUGGCAAACGGGUGAGCAACACGAGGGUGAUCUGCCCUCAACGUUCAGGAUAAGCUUGGGAAACUGGGUCUAAUACCGGAUAGGACCAUGGUUUAAUGUUCAUGGCGGAAAGCUUUAUGUGGUUGGGGAUGACCCCGCGGCCUAUCAGCUUGUUGGUGGGGUAAUGGCCUACCAAGGCCGCAUACGGGUAGCCGGCCUGAGAGAGAGUACUGCCACAUUGGGACUGAGAUACGGCCCAUACUCCUACGGGAGGCAGCAGUGGGGAAUAUUGCACAAUGGGCGCAAGCCUGAUGCAGCGACACCGCGUGGGGGAUGAAGGCCUUCGGGUUGAAAACUCCUUUCGCUACCGACGAAGCCCUUUGGGGUGACCGUAGGUGGAGAAGAAGCACCGGCUAACUACGUGCCAGCAGCCGCGGUAAUACGUACGGUGCUAGCGUUGUCCGGAUUUACUGGGCGUAAAGAGCUCGUAAGUGGUUUGUCUCGUCGUCUGUUAAAUUCCGGGGCUUAACUCCGGGCGAGCUAGCGAUACGGGCAUAACUUGAGUGCUGUAAGGUUAACUGGAAUUCCUGGUGUAACGGUGGAAUGGGCAGAAUAUCAGGAGGAACCCCCGAUGCCGAAGGCAGGUUACUGGGGAAGCUACUGACGCCGAGGAGCGAAAGCAUGGGUAGCGAACAGGAUUAGAUACCCUGGUAGUCCAUGCUGUAAACGGUGGGCGCUAGGUGUGAGCCUCUUCCACGGGGUUUGUGCCGUAGCUAACGCAUUAAGCGCCCCGCCUGGGGAGUACGGCCGCAAGGCUAAAACUCAAAGGAAUUGACGGGGGCCCGCACAAGCGGCGGAGCAUGUGGAUUAAUUCGAUGCAACGCGAAGAACCUUACCUGGGCUCGACAUACACCAGAUCGGCGCAGAGAUGCGUUUUCCCUGUGUGGUUGGCGUACAGGUGGUGCAUGGUUGUCGUCAGCUCGUGUCGUGAGAUGUUGGGUUAAGUCCCGCAACGAGCGCAACCCUUGUCUUAUGUUGCCAGCAAGUGGUGGUGGGGACUCAUGAGAGACUGCCGGGGUUAACUCGGAGGAAGGUGGGGAUGACGUCAAAUCAUCAUGCCCCUUAUGUCCAGGGCUUCACACAUGCUACAAUGGUCGGUACAGUAGGUUGCGAUACCGUGAGGUGGAGCUAAUCCUAGUAAAGUCGGCCUUAGUUCGGAUUGGGGUCUGCAACUCGACCCCACGAAGUCGGAGUCGCUAGUAAUCGCAGAUCAGCAACGCUGCGGUGAAUACGUUCCCGGGCC